rnacentral:rRNA from 1 species
UACGUAGGGUCCGAGCGUUGUCCGGAAUUAUUGGGCGUAAAGAGCUCGUAGGCGGUCUGUCACGUCGGCUGUGAAAACCCGGGGCUCAACCCCGGGCCUGCAGUCGAUACGGGCAGACUAGAGUUCGGUAGGGGAGACUGGAAUUCCUGGUGUAGCGGUGAAAUGCGCAGAUAUCAGGAGGAACACCGGUGGCGAAGGCGGGUCUCUGGGCCGAAACUGACGCUGAGGAGCGAAAGCGUGGGGAGCGAACAGG